rfam:Bacteroides coprocola DSM 17136 Scfld_02_31 genomic scaffold, whole genome shotgun sequence.
GUAUCUGGUUGAAACAAGAUUUGUCGUGAGAAGUCAGCCGAAGCCAUAGUACCUGUUACUCACCAUAAUGGGGAAGGGC